GUUGCUCUGCUUUGUACGUCAGGGUUCUGAGAUAAUUUUCUCUCUAAAUUGUGUUAAGGGAGUCUGAUAUUUCUUUCGGUCGCGGCUGGAAGGUGAAGACACCCACUUGGUUUUCCAGGGAGCACGGUUGCCAGGACUACAACGGCACGGUGGAGUGAUU
rnacentral:other from 1 species